rnacentral:piRNA from 1 species
ACACUUUAUGAAAUCCUCCAUUUGGGGUGAU